rnacentral:rRNA from 1 species
UACAGAGGAUGCAAGCGUUAUCCGGAAUGAUUGGGCGUAAAGCGUCUGUAGGUGGCUUUUUAAGUCCGCCGUCAAAUCCCAGGGCUCAACUCUGGACAGGCGGUGGAAACUACCAAGCUGGAGUACGGUAGGGGCAGAGGGAAUUUCCGGUGGAGCGGUGAAAUGCGUAGAUAUCUGGAGGAACACCGGUGGCGAAGGCGGCAUCCUGGACCGGCAUUGACGCUGAGGAGCGAAAGCCAGGGGAGCAAACGGG